UGCCAGGCUCUGGUGCAGAGUUCGCUUCUGGCUCCGGAGCGAGACUCCGGACAGGCACGUGUGAACGUCAGCACGGUCUUGGGAAUGCCCCUCUUCGCCUUCCUAGCCCACCCAUACAAAACCAGGCAAAAUAUGGUAUUGAGCUUCGAUUGGCUUCAUUCAGGUUAGCAUUCACACCUGCCAAGCGCAAGGCGGGUGCUAUGUAUACCAAACAAACACACAGCAAGUUGGGGGGGGGAAAUCUUAACUAGCUCUGCUCAAACCGGCGUGGGGAGACGAAACCACGUUUAAGCUUUUUCUUCGUAGUGUCUUAAGGAGGUGAGGCGGACAAUAACGCGCUGGUUAACUGGAGCAAAACAAUUAUCCACCUCAGGCUGAGACGAAAAGAACCAUCUCCACCUUUCCUUUAUCCAAGAGGAUACGCCAGCCCUUCUGACAUGCAGUUCAACCCAAGCCACUGAUUUUCAGAAGUUAUCAUGUGUUCAGUAGAACAUCUAAUGUGUCAGAACGGCUUCAUUCAGUGCUGAGAUGGAAAAAACUGCAUACUCCAACUCUGCAGGGAUACUACAGAACUGAACAGUCGAGUUUCCCCCUGGUACCAGCAUCUUACCUUUGCAGUUUUUGCUCUUCCACCAGCCCUGAAGCAACUUGUCUGCUCCCAAAUUGGAGUCUUCCUUAUGGCAGCACAGAUACUUGAUACUCCUUUACUGACUCAUCGAGUUGGAAGGGACUUUGGAGAUCAUCUAGCUAAACCCGCUGCUGAAUGCAGGUCUGGGACGAAGGAUGCUGCUGUAGCAUCCCUGACAGAUGGCUGUCAACGCCCUGCAACAAAUAAGAACUCACCACCUCUCCGUUCAACAACUGAACAGUUAUUCUUGUUAAGAAGUUUCUAUGGACCCUGGGCCCUAAAUAGUGGUGGUUGUGACUAUGGUGUCUAUAGAAAGCACGACAAUUUUUAGCUGGGUCAAACCAAUAACCUUUAUUCAGUUCCAUUUCAGUUACUGAAAAGAGAACUUGAUUGUGGAAAAUGGGUCAAAUCUAGUUAUUUCAUGGCAAUCAAAAUGCAGGAAGAUGAAAAUAUUCUUUACUGUGAUCCACUGAUGUCUCUCCAUUCAGUGUUUUUAUGUGCACAUUUUAAAAUAAAAAGGUUUCAGCUCCAUUCUCCCUCUCCAAGGGGAAUGUAUUAAGUAGAUUAAAGAAACAGACAGCUCAACACAAGUACAAGUUUAUUUAAAGAUUUGUCACUGGUGCAGUGUUUGUUCUUCCUUCAAUAUAUAUUCUAAUAUAUAUGUAUGGCAACCCAGCAGUCCCGCACUGCAGCCAGCUUGCCAUUUCGCAUGCUCAUAGCAAAGUCACCUAUUCAUUGGAUAAUAAACCUAAUCUACCUUGCAGCUGAUGGGUUCUCCAUCAUGCAGAUGAACUGCCCCGACUCUAUUCAGCAGAAAGCACAGGAGGGCUUACUUUGCUAUAAAUAAAUUGUGUGACUAUGUUAAGUGGCUAGUUCAAACUGUGGCACAGACCCAAAGCUCACUUGAGUUGCAGAAGGGGAAAGGAGUUGUCACCAAGAGAAGAGUCAUCUUACUGUGUUGUGAAUGGAAAGUAUAGCUGACCAAAUUCCUUUCUAAGAGCUGAUGCCCGCAAGUCUCUUCAACGCUGUGUUUCAGUAAUUUGUAAGUGAUACUGAGAUCCUUUGUCCCCACAUCCUUUGAUUCGCAUAAGUGGAACUGUUGGUUCCCUAAUUCUGGGACAAGUUGCAGUUCUGGUAUGAGGCAUAGCAUGUACAGUGCAACCUAGAUCAUUUGGCAGUACACUGUGGGCUUCACACUAAUACCCGCAGUAUUAUAAGUCACGCAAAUACAGAAAAAGACUCAAACAAUGCACAGCUUGUCUGACAACCAUGCCUAUCAUAUGAAGCAGAAAAAGUGCGCCCUUAUCUGCAGUUGGCUUAUGAAUACUAGCCUGUCUCUUACCCCGGAGACCUCUCUGGGGAUGUAAUAAAAGCCUCCCUGGAAGGCAUGCUUAAAUCCUAGUUUGCACUGGAAGCAUACAACUAGCUUAUUCACACAAGACUUUAAUACAUAUUAUUAACAAUAUCUUAAAUAUGACACUCUAAUACUUCAGAUAGUCAUACAAAGCAAGAGAGAACAAAAUUGGCAAAAUUUCACAAUCCGUCUCCCUCUCCACACUUUCCCGCUUCGUUUGAAUCUAAAUCAUAAUACACAUAAAGUUUUGUGUACUCUGAUCUUCUUUUGACAUAUGGUAAAAAGACCCAACAUAACAUUUCUUCAAGGAACACUUGACUAGUAAUAGAUUUUACUAUCAUGAUCUGAUUUGAAUAGUUAGGCUGCACUCAAGAUACCGUAGCCACACAAUCUGUUGGCGAAACUUGGGAACCUCUACCAUUCUGUGCUACUGAGUGCCCCAAUUCCCAUCCAGCCAUUUCCUACUUAAUUAUUUUCCCGCCAUUUCCCCUGCCAUUUUUAUAAGCUGUAGCACGUUAAGGGUUAUCAUGAAGGCGCUUUGUUUUUGCUAUUCACCUUAACUCUAGGAGCACUAUAAUCCAAACCAGAACUAAAAUUAAUUAAUUGAGAAAGUGUGUGGACACCGACUCUACAUCCUUGUCUCUGCUGUGACUCCUGUAGAGAGCACUGGUAUCUGUUUCUAAUACUGCUUAGAUUGUAAGUCACAUUUGAAUGUCUGCUAGAAACAGCUUAGUAUAAGUGCACUGCCAUUUUCAUUCUGCCUCAAAAGGCUUCAGCUGUAGUGCCCUAAUGCCCUAGUAAUGGAUAUCCCGUUUAGAAUACUGAACCUAUUUUAAUAUGACAAAGCGAAUGCAGAGCAUAAUACAAAUUGUCAUAAAGAACAGCUUAGUCCUCACAAUGCCCUCAACUGGCGGUGUCACUGAAGUCAACAGGAUUUGUGCUGGCGGUGUCCCUUGGAGGCAAGAUGUCAAUGCUUGAAAACUUUUCCAUCCUCUGGGUCUUUUCACACAUGAGACUUGUAGUGUUUUUUAAAAUAUUGCUUUGUAAUGCAGAUGUGAAGCCUGUGCUGGCCAGAAUGCUCAUUCAAAUGACAAAUGUCUCUCUUUUCCUUCCCGUUUUGCACUUAACAAGGAUUACACACUCACAUAAAUAGCAUGAGAGAAGCACAAGCAACUAUUUAAACUUCAUGUCUGAUAACACUUUCAGUCUCUGAGGAUGCAAACCUGUCAUCAGUUAUGCUUUGGCAAAUCCCAUUGACAGCCAAUGGGUACACGCAUGUUACUAAUGACAUAUAAAAUUGCAUUUUAAAUGUGUAUAAAUGGCGAAACAAUAGGGAUUCGGUCUUUUGGUAUAAUUUAUCAUCCCUUUUCUUAGUUAUUUCCAAAGAGUUUCUUAACUUUUGAUCAUUAACGU